rnacentral:lncRNA from 1 species
AAGACUUGGCAAUUAUUAUUCAAAGUCAGGGUUUGUAUUGGUGAUUUGGGUUUUAUAUAAUAUCAUUAGGGCUAGCAAUUUUGGCUAGUUUGUGCAAUUUGUAUAGCAUCUAUGGUUUAAAGUUUGAUAUUAUUUGGAUUAUUGGAUGUGCUAAAUGUAUACAAAAUUUUGUGACAAUCUAACGAUGUGGUUUAGAGAUAUUUAGUUUUUAGCAGAAGAGGGUUUCAAAAGUUGGUAGUUUGAGGUUGGAUAGGAUUUCUAUGAUAU